GAGUUUCCCUGUUCCUGACCCCUUCCCUCACGGCACUCCCUGUCAGCACCACCACAGCCAGGGCUGUCUGCCUCACCAGCGCUGGAAUGACUGAGCUGCUGACCUGUCUCCAGAUGCCUUUUUGCCUCUGGAUUUUAGAGUUCGAUACUAGGAGCCAUAUCCUGUGACCUUGUCCUCUGAGCGUAGAUAAGCUGCUAUAGAGCCAGUAGAUUUAAGGUGGCAGUACUUACUCCUCCCGCCAAAAGCUGGGUGCAGGAGCCCUGCCUGCCUCACUCUACAGGAGAACAAACGCCAGGCGUGUCUUCAUACCAAGGAACCUGACCUCUCUGACAAUUGCAUUUGAACAUUGUUGUCCCCAAAGAGCUCAAUCUUCAAGUCGUCCCUGUGACUGAGCGGAGACUUGUAUGGACUCCUGUCCAGUAGGCAGCUGCUUCUGGUGUCUCUGCUUCAUCGCUUCUCCCUCACUCAUGCUGCUUUUCCGCCGCCUGACCAGACCCGGCAGCUCCAGCUUGCCUGGCCCCACGCACCUUGGGCUCAGGGCCGGAUCAUGCUCGCCCACUCAAGGGCGCACCCUUUGUUUUUAGAGCCAAACCAUGAGGAGAGUUUGGACAACUGUCACACAUGGUGUGUUCUACUGUCAAGCAAGUGCCCUUUUAUACAGUGAAGGGCACAAAUCAGGGACCGGACAUUCACUCAGUGAGUAUUUUCCUGUUGUAAUUGCUUUGAACCAAGCACCUCGGAUCCUGACUACUUUAAACACUGAGCUCCAGUGGUAAGUGAUAAAUUAUUUGAACCCAGGAACUGUAGUUUCCAGAGUCUUUAGCUUUAUUAAAAAAUAAAGAAAACACUGCCAGGCUUCAUUCUUCCACCUGACCCUGUAGAAGUACAU
rnacentral:lncRNA from 1 species